rnacentral:rRNA from 1 species
GGGAUUGCCUCAGUAACGGCGAGUGAAGCGGCAACAGCUCAAAUUUGAAAUCUGGCCCUUUCGGGGUCCGAGUUGUAAUUUGUAGAGAGUGCUUCGGGGGAGGCGGCGGUCUAAGUCCAUUGGAACAUGGCGUCAUAGAGGGUGAGAAUCCCGUAUGCGACCGUGGCUCGAACCCAUGUGAAGCCUCUUCGACGAGUCGAGUUGUUUGGGAAUGCAGCUCAAAAUGGGUGGUAAAUUUCAUCUAAAGCUAAAUACCGGCUGGAGACCGAUAGCGCACAAGUAGAGUGAUCGAAAGAUGAAAAGCACUUUGGAAAGAGAGUCAAACAGUACGUGAAAUUGUUGAAAGGGAAGCGCUUGCAACCAGACCUGCCCGCAGGCGAUCAGUCGCUGUUCUCAGCGGUGCACUCGCCCUGCGAUCAGGCCAGCAUCGGUUUCGGCGGUCGGAUAAAGGCCUUGGGAAUGUAGCUCCCCUUCGGGGGAGCCUUAUAGCCCUCGGUGCAAUGCGGCCAGCCGAGACCGAGGACCGCGCUUCGGCUAGGAUGCUGGCGUAAUGGUUGUAAGCGACCCGUCUUGAAACACGGACCAAGGAGUCUAACAUCUAUGCGAGUGUUUGGGUGUCAAACCCAUGCGCGGAAUGAAAGUGAACGGAGGUGAGAACCCUGAAGGGCGCAUCAUCGACCGAUCCAGAUGUCUUCGGAUGGAUUUGAGUAUGAGCAUAGCUGUUGGGACCCGAAAGAUGGUGAACUAUGCCUGAAUAGGGUGAAGCCAGAGGAAACUCUGGUGGAGGCUCGCAGCGGUUCUGACGUGCAAAUCGAUCGUCAAAUUUGGGUAUAGGGGCGAAAGACUA